UAUGGCCAUAUCAAAAUGAAACAUCAGUUCUCAUAUGAUCACUGAAGUUAAGCAAUGUUGGACCUGGUCAGUACUUAGAUGGGUGACUGCUUGGGAAUAUCAGGUGCUGUAAG